rnacentral:rRNA from 1 species
AACGAACGCUGGCGGCAGGCCUAACACAUGCAAGUCGAGCGAGGACUUCGGUCCUAGCGGCGGACGGGUGAGUAACGCGUGGGAACGUGCCCUUUGCUUCGGAAUAGCCCUGGGAAACUGGGAGUAAUACCGGAUGAGCCCUUUGGGGGAAGGAUUUAUCGGCGAAGGAUCGGCCCGCGUUGGAUUAGGUAGUUGGUGGGGUAAUGGCCUACCAAGCCGACGAUCCAUAGCUGGUUUGAGAGGAUGAUCAGCCACACUGGGACUGAGACACGGCCCAGACUCCUACGGGAGGCAGCAGUGGGGAAUCUUAGACAAUGGGGGAAACCCUGAUCUAGCCAUGCCGCGUGAGCGAUGAAGGCCUUAGGGUUGUAAAGCUCUUUCAGCUGGGAAGAUAAUGACGGUACCAGCAGAAGAAGCCCCGGCUAACUCCGUG